rnacentral:tRNA from 1 species
UUCAAUAGCUUACUUGUUAGAGUGAAGGGCUGUAGGUGAAGGUCCUUGGCCAUCCUGCGGUUGCUGGUUUGAUUCUGGCUCAAAGGA